rnacentral:tRNA from 1 species
UAGCUCAGCGGGAGAGCACUUCCUUGACAUGGAAGGGGUCACAGGUUCGAUCCCUGU